rnacentral:rRNA from 1 species
UACGUAGGGGGCAAGCGUUGUCCGGAAUCAUUGGGCGUAAAGAGCGUGUAGGCGGUCCGGUAAGUCGGUUGUGAAAGUCCAGGGCUCAACCCUGGGAUGCCGACCGAUACUGUCGGACUAGAGUUCGGAAGAGGCGAGUGGAAUUCCCGGUGUAGCGGUGAAAUGCGCAGAUAUCGGGAGGAACACCUAUGGCGAAGGCAGCUCGCUGGGACGUUUACUGACGCUGAGGCGCGAAAGCGUGGGGGAGCAAACAGG